AUGCACAUUGGUGGAUCGAUCCUCAUGAUGGACAGCACCGCAGAAGGUACACUCCAAAUACCAUCACCACAUAUCAAACCAGAAGCAACCGCACCUGCAAAGUCCUCGGACUCCUUACGGUUCACCCUCUCCCAGACAAACAAGAUGACAGUCCCAAAAAACAUGUCAAUCGCAAAGUAUGCCCCAAUGUAA
rnacentral:rRNA from 1 species